rnacentral:lncRNA from 1 species
GCGCCUAAUUGGUUCAACAAAUAUAUUUCGAAAUUUGUAAAUAUUAUUUUCGGGUUCGAGUUUUUCGGUUUAGAAUCGGGUUCGGAUUUUCGGGUUUUUGGCGGGGGUCUGGUUCGGGUUCGGGUUCGGAUUUCGGGUUUUUUCUCGGGUUCGGGUUCGGGUUUGGGUUCGGGUUUCGGAUUUGGUAGUCGGGUUCGGAUUCGGAUUUUUAAAAACUCGACCCGAAUCCGACCCGUUGACAUCCCUACUCUGGAGGGUAUAUUAUAGUAUAUACGACGAAAAUGGCGCUAAAUUAAAAAAAAAUAUAAAAAA